rnacentral:rRNA from 1 species
GGACCAUCAUGUCGGUCGUGCCUCGGUACGUACUGGUAUUGUUGGUUUCUCCCUUCUGACGAACCAUGAUGUCAUUUAUUUGGUGUUGUGGGGAAUCAGGACUGUUACUUUGAAAAAAUUAGAGUGUUUAAAGCAGGCUCACGCUUGAAUACAUUAGCAUGGAAUAAUGAAAUAGGACGUUUGAUUCUAUUUUGUUGGUUUCUAGGAUCGACGUAAUGAUUAAUAGGGAUAGUUGGGGGCAUUAGUAUUCAAUUGUCAGAGGUGAAAUUCUUGGAUUUAUUGAAGACUAACUACUGCGAAAGCAUUUGCCAAGGAUGUUUUCAUUAAUCAAGAACGAAAGUUAGGGGAUCGAAGACGAUCAAAUACCGUCGUAGUCUUAACCAUAAACUAUGCCGACUAGGGAUCGGAUGAUGUUAAUUUUUUAAUGACUCAUUCGGCGCCUUACGGGAAACCAAAGUGUUUGGGUUCCGGGGGGAGUAUGGUCGCAAGGCUGAAACUUAAAGGAAUUGACGGAAGGGCACCACCAGGGGUGGAGCCUGCGGCUUAAUUUGACUCAACACGGGGAAACUCACCAGGUCCAGACAUAGUAAGGAUUGACAGAUUGAGAGC